rnacentral:rRNA from 1 species
GCUUACGGCCAUACCACCCUGUAUGCACCAGAUCUCGUCAGAUCUCAGAAGCUAAGCAGAGUCGUGCCUGGUUAGUACUUGGAUGGGAGACUGCCUGUGAAUACCAGGUGCUGUAAGCU